AUUUUAUUAGGUGGAUACUUUAAUACUGAUAAACCACACCCCAGGGGUGAAAUUCUUAUUGGGGGCCAAAUUGUGACAAUGGGAUACUACAAAAAUGAAGCAAAAACAAAAGCUGAUUUCUUUGAAGAUGAAAAUGGACAGAGGUGGCUCUGUACUGGGGAUAUUGGAGAGUUUGAACCCGAUGGAUGCUUAAAGAUUAUUGAUCGUAAAAAGGACCUUGUAAAACUACAGGCAGGAGAGUAUGUUUCUCUUGGGAAAGUAGAGGCAGCUUUGAAGAAUCUUCCACUAGUAGAUAACAUUUGUGCAUAUGCAAACAGGUAAGAACGUGGAACUCAUACUACUUUUACUUAAAACAUUUGAUGUCCAUAGACAUUUCCUACCUGUAUGGACCUUCUUAGUAAAAAUGUUCCGAGAGCUCUUCCUAUCUGUUACUUGUGGGAAUGGCCUCCUUCUCAUUACAGCCAUUAGCUGACUCUUUUCCUUGUAAGGCUUCCCCUGAUCUUUCUCUCUGUCCCUGUUUUCUGCUUUACAUCUCACUGUAGUGUCCCAUGUAGGGAGGUGAAGAAAAUAAAACCUUCCUUCCUGCUGCCUUGGUACCCCUACCUACCUGUCCCUCAGCAGGGGAAGCUUCACAGAACUACUCCAGAGGAAUGGGGAGUAAAGAAGUGGCAGUGAGGAGUGUGCUGCUUACUUACCCCCGCUCUACACUUGAGCCUGCUCGGCACUCCAGGCAGGUCUUGGGGCUCCUAUGUAAGCUGUG
rnacentral:sRNA from 1 species